rnacentral:rRNA from 1 species
GAUUAACGCUGGCGGCGUGCAUAACGCAUUCAAGUCGAACGGUGAAGGAACUUCGGUCCCGGAUCAGUGGCGGACGGGUGAGUAACGCGUGAGCAACCUGCCCUUGUGUGGGGGAUAACGUUUGGAAACGGACGCUAAUACCGCAUAACCCAAUAGUACGGCAUCGUACAGUUGGCAAAGAUUUAUUGCACAAGGAUGGGCUCGCGUCUGAUUAGGUAGUUGGUGGGGUAACGGCCUACCAAGCCGACGAUCAGUAGCCGGACUGAGAGGUUGAACGGCCACAUUGGAACUGAGAUACGGUCCAGACUUCUACGGGAGGCAGCAGUGGGGAAUAUUGCGCAAUGGGCGAAAGCCUGACGCAGCAACGCCGCGUGGGGGAUGAAGGUUCUCGGAUUGUAAACCCCUUUCGACCGGAAGAAGAAAGUGACGGUACCUAUCGAGGAAGUCACGGCUAACUACGUGCCAGCCGCCGCAGUAAAAC